rnacentral:rRNA from 1 species
ACUCUGAUGCAGCGAUGCCGCGUGAGUGAAGAAGGCCUUUGGGUUGUAAAGCUCUUUUGUAGGGGAAGAUAAUGACUGUACCCUAAGAAUAAGGUCCGGCUAACUUCGUGCCAGCAGCCGCGGUAAUACGAAGGGACCUAGCGUAGUUCGGAAUUACUGGGCGUAAAGCGCGCGUAGGCCGUUGAGUUAGUUAAUUGUGAAAUCCCAAAGCUUAACUUUGGAACUGCAAUUAAAACUGCUCGACUAGAGUUUGAUAGAGGAAAGCGGAAUACAUAGUGUAGAGGUGAAAUUCGUAGAUAUUAUGUAGAACACCAGUUGCGAAGGCGGCUUUCUGGAUCAACACUGACGCUGAGGCGCGAAAGUAUGGGUAGCAAAGAGGAUUAGAUACCCUCGUAGUCCAUACCAUAAACGAUGAUUGCUAGAUGUUGGAAAUUUAUUUUCAGUAUCGCAGCUAACGCAUUAAGCAAUCCGCCUGGGGAGUACGACCGCAAGGUUAAAACUCAAAUGAAUUGACGGGGACCCGCACAAGCGGUGGAGCAUGUGGUUUAAUUCGAAGAUACGCGCAGAACCUUACCAACCCUUGACAUGUCUGUCGCGAGUUUAGGAAACUAGACUUUUCGGUUCGGCCGGACAGAACACAGGUGCUGCAUGGCUGUCGUCAGCUCGUGUCGUGAGAUGUUGGGUUAAGUCCCGCAACGAGCGCAACCCCUACUUUUAGUUGCCAUCAGGUCAUGCUGGGCACUCUGAAAGAACUGCCAGUGAUAAGCUGGAGGAAGGUGGGGAUGACGUCAAGUCCUCAUGGCCCUUACGGGUUGGGCUACACACGUGCUACAAUGGUAGUGACAAUGAGAUGCAAAGUGGCGACGCUAAGCUAAACUCAAAAAUCUACCUCAGUUCGGAUUGCACUCUGCAACUCGAGUGCAUGAAGCUGGAAUCGCUAGUAAUCGUAGAUCAGCGUGCUACGGUGAAUACGUUCCCGGGUCUUGUACACACCGCCCGUCACACCAUGGAAGUUGGUUCUACCUUAAAGCAGAUUGCUAACCGCAAGGAGGCGUUUGACCAAGGUAUAGUCAGCGACUGGGGUGAAGUCGUAACAAGGUAGCCGUAGGGGAACCUGCGGCUG